GGUUGCGUUGAGGACAAGAGGCAGCAGAAAGUUUGAAAGCUGCAGCUGCAGUUAAUUGGACAGAUUGUCAGAGUUGCAGCUGCGGUUUUAAUCAACAGUGUGCUGCUGUCAGCGUUUCAGGUGGAUUCUGCUGGAACUUACACUCAUGGCUCUUCAGUUACGGGUUUCAUGGCUUUUUAUGCUGAUGUGUGUUUGUUUUCUUCCACAAGACGGUUACAGACAUGUUCAUGGACUCUACCUGUUUGGGGGCCCACUAACUUCCGACCAGUUCAACCCUGGAAAGUUUUUGGAGGCUAACUUUGAGAACAAUCUAGAAUAUUUGAGACAACUCUAUAAAAACGGGAAUAAUGUCAGGCCUGUUCGGAGUCUCAUCGAAGAGGUGCAGCCAGGUCAUCCGGGCUCUGUUCAGAAGAGGGACAAGCCUUUGGUUUUCCAAAAGGAGAUGAGUAACGAUGGUGCUUGGAGAAGACGUGGAGCCGGUUGUCGAGAUGAAUGUCCCUCCUCUGACCCAGUUCGCUCCACCAAAAACCUCGUCUCCACCACACAAAAUCAAGAAUUUAGCCCGACCCCACAAAAACAAGUAGCUAUGAGACCUGAUUCAAGUGGUAAAGAGAAUGGCGGCCUUUCAAGAGGUAACAGAGAAACUUUCCGUUUCUCCAACAAACAAUUUGUCCAAUCCAACUACAAGCCACCAGGGCACACUCUGCUCUCAUUGGACUCAUCCUCAGGAAAAGAUUUUUUCAGUGGUCGCAGGAUUGUGUCUGCUCCUAACACUCCCAAGAGCCUUUCUCAAAGCUACAACCACUUAUCACGCAAGAAAAUGCCUUCGCUUCCUCUCAACGGUAAUGGAAAUGUCCUAAAGUCAAAGUACAGGUCGAACAGAAAAUAUCUAUCAAAGAGGUAUAAAACACCAUCAGCCAGCUUGGACAAAGGCCCCCAAAGAGGAAUCCAAACUGGCCCUCCCCCUCAGAAGCCCCAGUUUCUGAGCUCGUACGUACCAAGAAGUCAGCCCAACGUCAAACACUUAAAGAAACCAGCCCCGUUGUUUCAGUCCUUCCAAUCGAACGCCAGCAAAAGAGCAAAGAGCGUACACCAUCCUCCCGUGCUCAAUCAGGGCGUGUCUACUGGUUUUGUCGUGAUUUCCAACAACCGUUUCCCACAGAGCAUGAGAGGCCACAUAACUGUUCAGUAUAAACCUCCGAAGCUGCUGGAUAAUCCUCAUUUGGUGAUGAAAGUGCCCAGCUCUCGCCAUUCCUCUACCACAGAGUGCAAGUACCUGGAUUAUCAGAAGGUUGAUGCCAGGACUCCUCAGAAGGACGACGUAAAGCUGGACCUCCAUGGUCAAAACCUGGUCCCUGACCUUCAGGAGUCCAAUACAAGUGUUACCAAACCAAGAGAAGCCAAUUUAAAGCAGAGAGUAAUGCCUUCAAAUCUAUCAGAAAAUCAACUGAAAUCCUUUUCCGCGCAAGAUCAAUUCCUCCUCAUAAACGGAGGGUAUGAGGAUGCGUUGAAAGCUGGUCUCUUGAAGCCUCUCAGCCAGCCCGACUUUCCAAUCCUCUCGAGCAUAUUGAAUGAAGACCCAGCAACGCUGGAGCCCUGGCCCUCACUGUUGCUGCCCGAACCCCAAGAUUCUAACUGUGUAGUUUGGAAAGACACACAAAGAUCCCCUCCUCAGAAGUCUCAAAGGUUGUCACAGCCGUCCGAAAACGGAUAUCUUGCCUCCAAAAAUCGUUCUGCAAGAGCUACCGCCUCUGUGUCAAAGAUCUGCUUCACACCAAGUCGGUGGGUUCAAGGCAAAGUUGCUAAAUUAGCCACAAGGCGACGUGUAUGAUGGCACAAGAUCUACAAUAAAAAGACUUCCCUAAGAAGAUCCAGCUGCUAAAUUGAGAUAAACUGUCCUGUUUCCAGCUGCAAUUCAAGCUGUGGUAUUGAUCAUAGUAAAAACCUGAACUAUUCUA